UGGGGAAUCUUGCGCAAUGGGGGCAACCCUGACGCAGCAACGCCGCGUGAUUGAAGAAGGCCUUCGGGUUGUAAACUCCUGUCCCAGGGGACGAUAAUGACGGUACCCUGGGAGGAAGCACCGGCUAACUACGUGCCAGCAGCCGCGGUAAAACGUAGGGUGCAAGCGUUGUCCGGAAUUACUGGGUGUAAAGGGAGCGCAGGCGGAUUGGCAAGUUGGGAGUGAAAUCUAUGGGCUCAACCCAUAAAUUGCUUUCAAAACUGUCAGUCUUGAGUGGUGUAGAGGUAGGCGGAAUUCCCGGUGUAGCGGUGGAAUGCGUAGAUAUCGGGAGGAACACCAGUGGCGAAGGCGGCCUACUGGGCACUAACUGACGCUGAGGCUCGAAAGCAUGGGUAGCAAACAGGAUUAGAUACCC
rnacentral:rRNA from 1 species